rnacentral:tRNA from 1 species
GUGGAUGAAACACGGGAUUUUUAAUCCCGCGUUCCAGGUUCGAGUCCUG